rnacentral:rRNA from 1 species
GCUUACAGCCAUACCACCCUGAGUGUGCCAGAUUUCCGAAGCUAAGCAGGGUCAGGCCUGGUUAGUACUUGGAUGGGUGACCGCCUGGGAAUACCAGAUGCUUUCAGCU